GUGGGGAAUAUUGCACAAUGGGCGCAAGCCUGAUGCAGCCAUGCCGCGUGUAUGAAGAAGGCCUUCGGGUUGUAAAGUACUUUCAGCGAGGAGGAAGGCAUUAAGGUUAAUAACCUUAGUGAUUGACGUUACUCGCAGAAGAAGCACCGGCUAACUCCGUGCCAGCAGCCGCGGUAAUACGGAGGGUGCAAGCGUUAAUCGGAAUUACUGGGCGUAAAGCGCACGCAGGCGGUCUGUUAAGUCAGAUGUGAAAUCCCCGGGCUCAACCUGGGAACUGCAUUUGAAACUGGCAGGCUUGAGUCUUGUAGAGGGGGGUAGAAUUCCAGGUGUAGCGGUGAAAUGCGUAGAGAUCUGGAGGAAUACCGGUGGCGAAGGCGGCCCCCUGGACAAAGACUGACGCUCAGGUGCGAAAGCGUGGGGAGCAAAC
rnacentral:rRNA from 1 species